rnacentral:rRNA from 1 species
GAUGAACGCUGGCGGCGUGCCUAAUACAUGCAAGUCGAGCGAACAGACGAGGAGCUUGCUCCUUUGACGUUAGCGGCGGACGGGUGAGUAACACGUGGAUAACCUACCUAUAAGACUGGGAUAACUUCGGGAAACCGGAGCUAAUACCGGAUAAAAUGUUGAACCGCAUGGUUCAACAGUGAAAGACGGUCUUGCUGUCACUUAUAGAUGGAUCCGCGCCGCAUUAGCUAGUUGGUAAGGUAACGGCUUACCAAGGCAACGAUGCGUAGCCGACCUGAGAGGGUGAUCGGCCACACUGGAACUGAGACACGGUCCAGACUCCUACGGGAGGCAGCAGUAGGGAAUCUUCCGCAAUGGGCGAAAGCCUGACGGAGCAACGCCGCGUGAGUGAAGAAGGUCUUCGGAUCGUAAAACUCUGUUAUUAGGGAAGAACAAAUGUGUAAGUAACUAUGCACGUCUUGACGGUACCUAAUCAGAAAGCCACGGCUAACUACGUG